AUUGAACGCUGGCGGCAGGCUUAACACAUGCAAGUCGAACGGUAACAUAAAGGAGCUUGCUUCUUUGAUGACGAGUGGCGGACGGGUGAGUAAUGCUUGGGAAUCUAGCUUAUGGAGGGGGACAACUACGGGAAACUGUAGCUAAUACCGCGUAGAAUCGGGAGAUGAAAGUGUGGGACCUUCGGGCCACAUGCCAUAGGAUGAGCCCAAGUGGGAUUAGGUAGUUGGUGAGGUAAAGGCUCACCAAGCCGACGAUCUCUAGCUGGUCUGAGAGGAUGACCAGCCACACUGGAACUGAGACACGGCCCAGACUCCUACGGGAGGCAGCAGUGGGGAAUAUUGCGCAAUGGGGGCAACCCUGACGCAGCCAUGCCGCGUGAAUGAAGAAGGCCUUCGGGUUGUAAAGUUCUUUCGGUAGCGAGGAAGGCAUUUAGUUUAAUAGACUAGGUGAUUGACGUUAACUACAGAAGAAGCACCGGCUAACUCCGUG
rnacentral:rRNA from 1 species